ensembl:lncRNA
AUUUUCUUUUACAUCAUGUGGAAGGCCGGGUGCGUGUGCAUCGCUUACCUGAGUACGAGAUGGCACGGCACCAGGAUGCACUAUGAAAAGAAGGCAAGCCGGUGGAGAAAUCUUUUCAUUGCUUCAGUAGCAUUUGUCUUUCUGGCAACAGCAGUUUCAGCUGCUCCUGUUGAAGACAAAGACCCAGAGGAAAAUGAUUUUGAAGCAGAGGAGGGUGAGGAAGAGCUCUCGGAGGAAGAAGAGGGUAGGAAAUGAAAAUACAUUUUUGGUGUGAUGAGCAUCACACUCAGUACAGCAAACAAACAAUUUGGAAAUUGGGAAAUUGGCUUAUCCUGAAGAAAAAUAUUUAUAUAAAGUCACAAACAGUCCUGUAAUCACACAUGUAUGUCUAUAUAAAGUGAAGAUAAUUAGUGCAGAUGUAGCUACAACAAUAAACAUAGCAAUAAUAUUAAGGAUGAAACUGUGACUGACAUCUGCAGACAGUCAUCUCUGAUGAACUUAUAUAACAUCCUAAAAUGUGGUUUUAAUCCACGUUACCUUAUAAAGAUAAAAAAAAUAUAUCCUAAAUAUUUUAACAAGAAUUUAAACAACACCAUACAAAAUGUGUACGUUUGUAAUGCUAUGAGACCAGC